CAUGUAGGCGGUCUGUCAAGUCUGAUGUGAAAGCCCGGGGCUCAACCCCGGAAGUGCAUUGGAAACUGGCAGACUUGAGUACGGGAGAGGAAAGUGGAACUUCGAGUGUAGGGGUGAAAUCCGUAGAUAUUCGAAGGAACACCAGUGGCGAAGGCGGCUUUCUGGACCGAUACUGACGCUGAGAUGCGAAAGCGUGGGGAGCAAACAGGAUUAGAUACCCUGGUAGUCC
rnacentral:rRNA from 1 species